AUAUCAGUCAUGCAUAGCAUAUCAAUAAGCGGAGGAAAAGAACCUGACCACCGGCUAUACCUACGCUUAGGAUGUUGAAGAUGUAGCACAUCAUACACGCAUGACACACUGCAUAUCAAUAAGCGGAGGAAAAGAAACUAACAAGGAUUCCCUUAGUAACGGCGAGUGAAGCGGGAAGAGCUCAAAUUUGAAAUCUUCAAGGUUUUACCUUGACGAAUUGUAGUUUAAAGAAGUGUUUUCUGCUGAAGUUUUGGUAAAAGUUCUUUGGAAUAGGACAUCAUAGAGGGUGAGAAUCCCGUAUUUGACCAUUAUUUUCAGCUUUGUGAUACACUUUCAAAGAGUCGGAUUGUUUGGGAAUGCAGUCCAAAAUAGGUGGUAAAUUUCAUCUAAAGCUAAAUAUUGGCGAGAGACCGAUAGCGAACAAGUACCGUGAGGGAAAGAUGAAAAGAACUUUGAAAAGAGAGUUAAACAGUACGUGAAAUUGCCAAAAGGGAAGCGUUUGACACCAGUGUUGUUUUCUCGAAAAUCAAUUAAAAAAAGUUGGAUUUUGUGUUGUAUUGACCUUAACAGCUUUCUGCACUCUUUUCCUGCUUUUUUAAUGCACUUUUCGUUUAACAAGUCAACAUCAGUUUCUUUUGUUGUAAAAGGGUCAUUGGAAGGUGGCUUUCUUUUCGGAGAAGGUGUUUAUAGCCCUUUGAUCUCUGCAAUCGGAGAGACUGAGGUCUGCAGCGUAGAUCCUUCGGGGUUAGAUACAUUUGUGCUAAGUUAUAACUUUUCAUAGACAACUUGUUGACUAUGUUUUAGUCAUGUAGCUUACUCGCUUAUGUUAUUUUACCUACGCUUAGGAUGUUGAAGAUGUAGCACAUCAU
rnacentral:rRNA from 1 species